ensembl:lncRNA
AGAGGAGGAGAGCAGGCUGGGUUGUGUAGGAAGGAGGAGAGCAGGCUGGGUUGUGUAGGAAGGAGGAGAGCAGGCUGGGUUGUGUAGGGAGGAGGAGAGCAGGCUGGGUUGUGUAGUGAAGAGAAGAGCAGGCUGGGUUGUGUAGGGAGGAGGAGAGCAGGCUGGGUUGUGUAGGGAGGAGGAGAGCAGGCUGGGUUGUGUAGGAAGGAGGAGAGCAGGGAGGAGGAGAGCAGGCUGGGUUGUGUAGGAAGGAGGAGAGCAGGGAGGAGGAGAGCAGGCUGGGUUGUGUAGGAAGGAGGAGAGCAGGCUGGGUUGUGUAGGGAGAGCAGGGAGGAGGAGAGCAGGCUGGGUUAUGUAGGGAGGAGGAGAGCAGGCUGGGUUGUGUAGGGAGGAGGAGAGCAGGCUGGGUUGUGUAGGAAGGAGAAGAGCAGGCUGGGUUGUGUAGGGAGGAGGAGAGCAGGCUGGGUUGUGUUGGGAGGAGGAGAGCAGGCUGGGUUGUGUAGGAAGGAGGAGAGCAGGCUGGGUUGUGUAGGGAGGAGGAGAGCAGGCUGGGUUGUGUAGGGAGGAGGCGAGCAGGCUGGGUUGUGUAGGGAGGAGGAGAGCAGGCUGGGUUGUGUAGGGAGGAGGAGAGCAGGCUGGGUUGUGUAGGGAGGAGGAGGACAGGCUGGGUUGUGUAGGGAGGAGGAGAGCAGGCUGGGUUGUGUAGGGAGGAGGAGAGCAGGCUGAGUUGUGUAGGGAGGAGGAGAGCAGGCUGGGUUGUGUAGGGAGGAGGAGAGCAGGCUGGGUUGUGUAGGGAGGAGGAGAGCAGGCUGGGUUGUGUAGGGAGGAGGAGAGCAGGCUGGGUUGUGUAGGGAGGAGGAGAACAGGCUGGGUUGUGUAGGGAGGAGGAGAGCAGGCUGGGUUGUGUAGGGAGGAGGAGAGCAGGCUGGGUUGUGUAGGGAGGAGGAGAGCAGGCUGGGUUGUGUAGGGAGGAGGAGAGCAGGCUGGGUUGUGUAGGGAGGAGGAGAGCAGGCUGGGUUGUGUAGGGAGGAGGAGAGCAGGCUGGGUUGUGUAGGUAGGAGGAGAGCAGGCUGGGUUGUGUAGGAAGGAGGAGAGCAGGCUGGGUUGUGUAGGGAGGAGGAGAACAGGCUGGGUUGUGUAGGGAGGAGGACAGCAGGCUGGGUUGUGUAGGAAGGAGGAGAGCAGGCUGGGUUGUGUAGGGAGGAGGAGAACAGGCUGGGUUGUGUAGGGAGGAGGACAGCAGGCUGGGUUGUGUAGGGAGGAGGAGGACAGGCUGGGUUGUGUAGGGAGGAGGAGGACAGGCUGGGUUGUGUAGGGAGGAGGAGAGCAGGCUGGGUUGUGUAGGGAGGAGGAGGAGAGCAGGCUGAGUUGUGUAGGGAGGAGGAGAGCAGGCUGGGUUGUGUAGGGAGGAGGAGAGCAGGCUGGGUUGUGUAGGGAGGAGGAGAGCAGGCUGGGUUGUGUAGGGAGGAGGAGAGCAGGCUGGGUUGUGUAGGGAGGAGGAGAACAGGCUGGGUUGUGUAGGGAGGAGGAGAGCAGGCUGGGUUGUGUAGGGAGGAGGAGAGCAGGCUGGGUUGUGUAGGGAGGAGGAGAGCAG